CGGCCGCUAACACAACCACCUCGAGCCAAGAACUAAUACCACUUGAAUCCAUCUCUAUCAACAACUAGAGACAUACCACAACAACUUCAACCCAAUCGAAUAAACUUUCACCACCCGGCACAGGUUCACGUCACAAUCACGCACCUAUAGCCUCAAGGUUAGUCCAUCCUAGACUUCUCUCUUUACUUGCUUGCUCUGUUACUUGAUCUGAUAUCACUCUAUCUGUCACGCCACGCGACCGCCAAUUUGGUCGGUUCGAAUACGUCGAUCAGACGCCGAACGGACAGAGCCUCCUCUGCCGGCCCAA
rnacentral:lncRNA from 1 species